rnacentral:rRNA from 1 species
GACGAAGGUGGCGAGCGUUACUCGGAAUUACUAGGCGUAAAGCAUGGGCAGGCGGUUCGGCAAGUCUGUUGUGAAAGCUCCUGGCUUAACCGGGAGAGAUCAAUGGAUACUACCGGGCUUGAAUCGGGGAGAGGUCACUGGAAUUCCUGGUGUAGCGGUGAAAUGCGUAGAGAUCAGGAGGAACACCAAUGGCGAAAGCAGGUGACUGGACCCGUAUUGACGCUCAUCCAUGAAAGCCGGGGGAGCAAACAGG